CAUAAUGUGCAUGGAGGAGAAUGAGUCUUCCUUGGAUUCCUACAUGGGAAUUUGAUGCAAUAAUAAAGCAGUGGCGUAGCUAGAAUAAAUGAAGAAAGAGGGCACAGUGGGGGCACUGACUAAAGCAAUACUCAAGAAUACUCAAUAUAUUGCAGGGGCACAAUUAAGAAGCAGUUAUGAGGGCACUUGCCCCCACAGGCCCCUAUGUAGCUACGCCACUGAUUAUAGGUAUAUACCAGUGUUCUAGGAUCAAUAGCACUUAUGAUGAUUGCUUUUUGCUCUGU